GACGAACGCUGGCGGCGUGCUUAACACAUGCAAGUCGAACGGAAAGGCCCUGCUUUUGUGGGGUGCUCGAGUGGCGAACGGGUGAGUAACACGUGAGUAACCUGCCCUUGACUUUGGGAUAACUUCAGGAAACUGGGGCUAAUACCGGAUAGGAGCUCCUGCUGCAUGGUGGGGGUUGGAAAGUUUCGGCGGGUGGGGAUGGACUCGCGGCUUAUCAGCUUGUUGGUUGGGGAGUGGCUUACCAAGGCUUUGACGGGUAGCCGGCCUGAGAGGGUGACCGGCCACAUUGGGACUGAGAUACGGCCCAGACUCCUACGGGAGGCAGCAGUGGGGAAUAUUGCACAAUGGGCGGAAGCCUGAUGCAGCAACGCCGCGUGCGGGAUGACGGCCUUCGGGUUGUAAACCGCUUUCGCCUGUGACGAAGCGUGAGUGACGGUAAUGGGUAAAGAAGCACCGGCUAACUACGUG
rnacentral:rRNA from 1 species